rnacentral:misc_RNA from 1 species
GUAUUGUUAGUGAUGGCGUGUUUAUAAAAGAGUGGAGGACCAUAAGUGCAGUUAUUGCGGCCUGAUAAUGUGGAGGGCACUGUUUUUGGUGGUCUGCGCAGCUAAUAUUCAUGUGGCAAUCUCUGCUGAAUGCGGUCUAAACGAGCGAUUCAUAGCAUGCCCAGAUACUAUGUGCAUCCCACAAUACUGUUCUGAGCGAGGCACGAAGGUACCCUGCCCAAUAUUGGGUCCCGAUGGCGAAUGUCCCGGCAAGCCUAGGUGCAUCUGCAUUGAAGGUUACUUGCGAGACGAUACUAGUGCCAAUGCUAAUGGCACUUGUAUAAAGGAGAAAACAUGCAAGCCACCGUCUACAGCAACGUCUUUAGACGAGAAAACGACCGGGGAGAGACACAGUUGUGGUUGUGGUUACCCACCAAUAUGUCCAAAAGGCGAAGAGUACUACAACUGCACAGGCGGCUGCAUACCGAGAAAAUGCUCCGAGCUCGGGUUCCCCUUGGACUGCAGCAAGUGCACGCCGGGAUGCGUUUGUAAAGAUGGCCUUGUUCGGGCUGAUAAUGGCAGCUGCAUCCCGGUUAAUAAGUGUCCAUCAUGUGGUGGCGAUAAAAAUGCCCAACAAGGAUGCGGCAGUAACUGCAACAAGAUGUGUGCCGACAUCGGCAAGCCACCGAAGCGUUGCCCGCUGGGGUGUAUUUUCAACGGCUGCACCUGCAGGCCAUGCUAUUACUACGACCCUAAUGAAAAGAAAUGCGUGAAACCGGAGGACUGCACGCCAACCUGUUCAGCAAACGAAGAGUAUUCUACUUGUAUCCAAAGCGGCUGUACUGCCAAAAACUGCAGCCAGCUCGGGAAACCGGUGCCCUGUAUCAAAAUAGACCCGAAGUACUGUAUCAAGGGGUGCGUCUGCAAAAAGGGGAUGUUGAGAAACUCGAAAGGAAUUUGUGUGCCUGAAAACCAAUGCGACAACUACCCACCAAAAUGUCCCAAAGGCGAAGAGUACAACAACUGCACAGGGGGCUGUACGCUGAGGAAAUGUUCCGAGUUAGGUUUCCCGUUGGACUGUGACAAGUGCACGCCGGGAUGCGUCUGUAAAGAUGGUCUUGUACGUGCUAGUAAUGGCAGUUGCAUCCCUGCUAAUGAGUGCCCAUCAUGUGGUGGCGAUAAAAACGCCCAACAAGGUUGUGGCAACUGCAACAAGCUAUGUUCAGACGUCGGCAAGCCGCCGAGACCUUGCCCGAAAAGAUUGUGCGUGUUCAAUGGCUGCACUUGUAAGCCUGGUUAUUAUUACGAUCCUGACAAAAAGAAGUGCGUCAAACCGGAGCAUUGUCCUGACAACCCACCAGAAUGUCCCAAAGGCGAAGAGUACAACAACUGCACAGGGGGCUGUACGCUGAGAAAUGCUCCGAGUUAGGUUUCCCGUUGGACUGUGACAAGUGCACGCCAGGAUGCGUCUGUAAAGAUGGUCUUGUACGUGCUAGUAAUGGCAGUUGCAUCCCUGCAAAUGAGUGCCCAUCAUGCGGUGGCGAUAAGAACGCUCAACAAGGUUGUGGCAACUGCAACAAGAUGUGUUCUGACAUAGGCAAGCCGCCGGGACCGUGUCCUCUAAGGCCAUGCAGAAUCAACGACUGCACUUGCAAGCCUGGCUUUUAU